rnacentral:misc_RNA from 1 species
GAUGAAGAACGCAGCGAAAUGCGAUAAGUAAUGUGAAUUGCAGAAUUCAGUGAAUCAUCGAAUCUUUGAACGCACAUUGCGCCCAUUAGUAUUCUAGUGGGCAUGCCUGUUCGAGCGUCAUUUCAACCCUUAAGCCUAGCUUAGUAUUGGGAAUCGACUUUACUGUCGUUCCUCAAAUUCAACGGCGGAUUUAUAGCAAUCUCUGAACGUAGUAAUUUUUUUCCUCGUUUUUGAAAUACUAUAAACCUCAGCCGCUAAACCCCCAAUUUUUCUAUGGUUGACCUCGGAUCAGGUAGGAAUACCCGCUGAACUUAAGCAUAUCAAUAAGCGGAGA